UACAGAGGUCUCAAGCGUUGUUCGGAUUCAUUGGGCGUAAAGGGUGCGUAGGCGGCGCGGUAAGUCGGAUGUGAAAUCUCGGAGCUUAACUUCGAAACUGCAUUCGAUACUGCCGUGCUUGAGGACUGGAGAGGAGACUGGAAUUUACGGUGUAGCGGUGAAAAGCGUAGAUAUCGUAAGGAAGACCAGUGGCGAAGGCGGGUCUCUGGACAGUUCCUGACGCUGAGGCACGAAGGCCAGGGGAGCAAACGGG
rnacentral:rRNA from 1 species